GACGAACGCUGGCGGCGUGCUUAACACAUGCAAGUCGAACGGAAAGGCCCUGCGUUUGUGGGGUGCUCGAGUGGCGAACGGGUGAGUAACACGUGAGUAACCUGCCCUUGACUUUGGGAUAACUUCAGGAAACUGGGGCUAAUACCGGAUAGGAGCUCCUGCUGCAUGGUGGGGGUUGGAAAGUUUCGGCGGUGGUGGAUGGACUCGCGGCUUAUCAGCUUGUUGGUGGGGUAGGGGCUGACCAAGGCUUUGACGGGUAGCCGGCCUGAGAGGGUGACCGGCCACAUUGGGCCUGAGAUACGGCCCAGACUCCUACGGGAGGCAGCAGUCGGGAAUAUUGCACAAUGGGCGGAAGCCUGAUGCAGCAACGCCGCGUGCGGGAUGACGGCCUUCUGGUUGUAAACCGCUUUCGCCUGUGACGAAGCGUGAGUGACGGUAAUGGGUAAAGAAGCACCGGCUAACUACGUG
rnacentral:rRNA from 1 species